rnacentral:lncRNA from 13 species
AUUAUAUGCCCCAGAUUGUUUUUCAGCAGUUCCAAGAUUUUAAAAAUUGUUUUUAUUUUGAGAAAUUGGUGAAUGAAAGCAGCCAGAUGCCCCCUGACCACCCGAAGAGAGUGUACAGUGAAACUUUUCAGAGGCUACAUGAUGUGUGAUGUCGUAAGAGAUUGAAUGCAGAAGCAGACAAUAGAUAAGCUAGAUCUACUAUUAGAUCUUCUAUUAAGCCAGAGUUCCCCAGGAGACACCAAUGACUUCCUUGUUCUGGCAUUUCUGGGAAUGCAAGCCCUGCUAUCCAGCUUCCUCUCCUCUGGCGUGGCUGUCAGCUGCUAGUCUUGGAUUAUUCAAGGAGGAGUUGGAAAUCCGCUGUGAUUGCAGACAGUGGAGGACGUACCUCAGUCAAGAAAUGAAAAGAAAGCCCGCGUGUUUACAGAGCAAGCACAGAGGAGUCCAAAGCUUUCAUCAGAAAGGAAAUUGGAGGUUUUGUCAGCACAACCCCCUUCCAGACUCACGUGAGCUGAGGUCUGCAGAAGGAAUAGGCAAGUUUCCUCCAUCAGUGUUGGAGGGUAAAAGUGGGGUAGAUGGCGGCUUGCAGGAGCUUUGGCAGGCGUACGGUCCUUUGUUCAGGAGAACCGAGGGUUUGUGUCCUCCGCAGCGUGGUGACCCUUAG